GACAGAGGGUGCAAACGUUGCUCGGAAUCACUGGGCGUAAAGGGCGUGUAGGCGGGAAGGAAAGUCAGAUGUGAAAUCCCUGGGCUCAACCCAGGAACUGCAUUUGAAACUCCCUUUCUUGAGUGUCGGAGAGGAAAGUGGAAUUCCUGGUGUAGAGGUGAAAUUCGUAGAUAUCAGGAGGAACACCGGUGGCGAAGGCGGCUUCUGGACGAACAACUGACGCUGGAGACGCGAAAGCGUCGGGGAGCAAACAGG
rnacentral:rRNA from 1 species